rnacentral:rRNA from 1 species
GAUGAACGCUGGCGGCGUGCCUAAUACAUGCAAGUCGAGCGAACGGACGAGAAGCUUGCUUCUCUGAUGUUAGCGGCGGACGGGUGAGUAACACGUGGAUAACCUACCUAUAAGACUGGGAUAACUUCGGGAAACCGGAGCUAAUACCGGAUAAUAUUUUGAACCGCAUGGUUCAAAAGUGAAAGACGGUCUUGCUGUCACUUAUAGAUGGAUCCGCGCUGCAUUAGCUAGUUGGUAAGGUAACGGCUUACCAAGGCAACGAUGCAUAGCCGACCUGAGAGGGUGAUCGGCCACACUGGAACUGAGACACGGUCCAGACUCCUACGGGAGGCAGCAGUAGGGAAUCUUCCGCAAUGGGCGAAAGCCUGACGGAGCAACCCCGCGUGAGUGAUGAAGGUCUUCGGAUCGUAAAACUCUGUUAUUAGGGAAGAACAUAUGUGUAAGUAACUGUGCACAUCUUGACGGUACCUAAUCAGAAAGCCACGGCUAACUACGUG